UUCUGCGGUAGAACGAAAAGGGGACACUUUCGGGUGUGCUGGUACUGUACCCAGCCUGCUAACCCCUUUUCGUUUUGCCAUCA
rnacentral:antisense_RNA from 1 species